CUUACACCUGAGACGGACUAGGGAACAGCACGUACCAGAGGUGGAAGUCCAAGUCAAACGUAGAAGGACAGCCUCACUGAGCAACCAAGAGUGUCAGCUGUACCCAAGGCGAUCUCAGCAGCAGCAAAUACCUGUGGUGGAUUUCCAGGUGGAACUGAGACAGGCAUUCUUAGCUGAGACACCAAGAGGUGGUUAAAGCAGUAUUGGAACAUCCAGGUAGCUGAUUUCCAAGUGAAAAAACAGGCUCCAUCUACUGUUUGAAGCUUCUGCCCCAAGCUUGCAUUGUUUGUAGGAGAACCUGCGUCAUACCUUUAUCUGUAGCCUUCCCUUAGGUCUUAAGGAUCCUGAAACCUUACUGUGGACAUUGGAUUUGGUGGAACAGCAACCAUGACUGUGGGAAAGAGCAGCAAGAUGCUGCAGCACACUGACUAUAGAAUGAGAUGUAUCUUGCAAGAUGGCCGAAUCUUCAUUGGCACCUUUAAGGCUUUUGAGAAGCAUAUGAACUUGAUCCUCUGUGAUUGUGAUGAAUUCAGAAAGAUCAAGCCAAAGAAUGCGAAGCAGCCAGAGCGUGAAGGAAAGCGGGUUUUGGGUCUGGUGUUACUACGUGGGGAGAACUUGGUUUCCAUGACUGUGGAAGGACCACCCCCCAAAGAUACUGGCAUUGCUCGGGUACCACUUGCUGGAGCUGCAGGAGGUCCUGGGGUUGGCAGGGCAGCUGGCAGAGGAGUGCCAGCUGAUGUUCCAAUUCCCCAAGCUCCUGCUGGAUUAGCAGGCCCUGUCCGAGGGGUUGGGGGGCCAUCCCAACAGGUAAUGACUCCACAGGGAAGAGGCACUGUAGCGGCUGCUGCAGUUGCUGCCACUGCCAGCAUUGCUGGAGCCCCAACUCAGUACCCACCAGGACAGGGGACCCCACCCACUCCUGUGGGCCGAGCAACACCACCUCCCGGCAUUAUGGCUCCUCUACCUGGUAUGAGACCACCCAUGGGCCCACCAAUUGGGCUUCCCCCUGCUCGAGGGACGCCAAUAGGCAUGCCCCCUCCAGGAAUGAGACCCCCUCCACCAGGAAUUAGAGGUCCACCUCCCCCAGGAAUGCAUCCACCAAGACCCUAGGAUACUGUUGAUCCUUCCUAAGUCACUCUUUUCCCUGCAAUGUGUCUUGUGAAAUUGUGUAGAGUGCUUGUGAGCUAUUGUUUCCUCCUUGCUGCAUUAAUAUUAGCUAAUAAAUGCACAGAGCAAUUAAACUGC